rnacentral:rRNA from 1 species
CCUACGGGCGGCAGCAGUGAGGAAUAUUGGUCAAUGGGCGCGAGCCUGAACCAGCCAAGUAGCGUGAAGGAUGACUGCCCUACGGGUUGUAAACUUCUUUUAUCAAGGAAUAAAGUGAGGCACGAGAGCCUUUCUGUAUGUACUUUAUGAAUAAGGAUCGGCUAACUCCGUGCCAGCAGCCGCGGUAAUACGGAGGAUCCGAGCGUUAUCCGGAUUUAUUGGGUUUAAAGGGAGCGUAGAUGGGUUGUUAAGUCAGCGGUAAAAAUCCGGGGCUCAACCCCGUCCGGCCGUUGAAACUGGGGGCCUUGAGAGGGCGAGAAGAAGGCGGAAUGCGUGGUGUAGCGGUGAAAUGCAUAGAUAUCACGCAGAACCCCGAUUGCGAAGGCAGCCUUCCGGCGCCCUACUGACGCUGAGGCACGAAAGUGCGGGGAUCGAACAGGAUUAGAUACCCCUGUAGUC